rnacentral:rRNA from 1 species
CACGUAGGGCGCAAGCGUUGUCCGGAAUUAUUGGGCGUAAAGAGCUCGUAGGCGGUCCGUCACGUCCGCUGUGAAAACCCAGGGCUCAACCCUGGGCUUGCAGUGGAUACGGGCAGACUAGAGGUAGGUAGGGGAGAAUGGAAUUCCCGGUGUAGCGGUGAAAUGCGCAGAUAUCGGGAGGAACACCGGUGGCGAAGGCGGUUCUCUGGGCCUGUACUGACGCUGAGGAGCGAAAGCGUGGGGAGCGAACAGG